AAAACGUAAAAUCUCUUUUUUUUGGAUUUUUGAUUUAUAAUACAUUUUUCAAAUACAAAAAAAAGGAAGUGCAAUAACAAAAAGAUCGACAUUACAAUACAAAACUAGAAGGUAAAAAAGACAUAAAAAGAAAAACAGACUCAAAACAUAAAAACUAAAAAAAAUAAAAAAUCUCCUCAAGCAACUCCUGAAUGAGCGAUCCUGCUUGGAUGAUCCGGGUUGUCUGUCAUUCUCAAACUCCGGUAAGUAGACCCACACCUGUAUGAGAAAAUUGAGACCAAAUAAAGUUAAAGACCCAUAACACUAUGUGAGACAAUAACCCUUACUGUUGGACACAUGCUAGACAUGAUUGUGACUAUUUUUGCAAAAUGACUUAUAUGGCCAAAAUUUGGCUAGAAGAACAAAAUUUGGCUAAGACCCCACAAAGCCAAGACCCUAAGAUUCACUAGGAAGACCGGACCCUAUGUGGGUUACCUACGUAUCAUGCCCCGAAAGACGAGAAUCAGGUAUGCGUAGUUCGGGCAGAUUGGAUACAGGCGAGAAUUAAAUAAAAUAACUAAUUUAAAGAAAAUAUGUUUUUUUUUGGUUUUAUUUUUUGAAAAAUGAUGAAACAUGUAAACUCUUUUUGGAUUUUAUUUUCCCUUUUUUGAUCUUUUUUUUUUGGAAAAUGAUAGGAAAGUGCAAAAUCUUUUUGGAUUUUUCAUUUUUUUCUUGUCUUUUUCUUUAAAAAAAAUGUGAAAGAAAAAUAUAACUGGAUCCUACUUGCUUUAUUUUUCACACUUCAACCUCUUUUCUUUCUCAUUUAUCCUCAGCCAUCAUUGGUCUGCCAAAUGACCAUUUUACCCGUGAAGAAAUGCAACAUGUAACACAUAGGAUGCAUCAGGAUGGUCAUUUAUUUUUGGGUACACUUAUCCUAGACGGACCCGACCCCUGUGUUGAGUCCCCUAAGUCAAAUGCACGUGAUGAAAUCAAACAUUCCUACUAGAGAUUCGGUAUGAGGUUAUGUUAUUCUAGGUUUAAACCUGGGGUUGUGUUCUUGACCUGGCUUACCCGAGCGGACAACUCGAGUCGAAGAGGGGGCAACGUACCGGGAGCACGAAAGUCUAUCCGGCCUUGUUGCUGGCCCAACCUCGUUCUAUUUGGUAUAAAUUCUAACAUAAAAGUGGUCCACGUGAACGUGUGCACCAUUUUUUUAGAAGACUCAGGUGGGAAGCGUAAGAAGAUAGUUUAAUACAAUUCAAAUAAUAUCAAAGCGGUAAAUAAGCAGCAGUUAGCACAUUAGGUCCACAAAUACAGUAAUAUGAACAAUAAAUAAAGCCAAAUAAAGAUCACAAAACAAGCUCGAAUUCUUGAACCCUGAACUAAAAGUUCUGGAUUCUUAUCCCAGCGGAGUCGCCAGAGCUGUCACACCUCCUUUUUCUACCCCGAAAGGGAUAUAAGGGAGUUUUUUCCAAUUUAAGUGACAAUCGAAACAGGAUUAUUUAUUCAAAUUCAGAGUCGCCACUUGGGAUAAUUUAUGGUGUCCCAAGUCACCGGUUUAAAAUCCGUAAUCGAGGAAAGUUUGACUCUUAUUUAUGGUCUGCGAACACAGAAAUCCGGGUAAGGAAUUCUAUUAACCCUGGAGAAGGUGUUAGACAUUCCCGGGUUCCAUGGUUUCAGCACGGUCGCUUUGAUCAUACCUGGCUUAAUCAAAUUGUCUAAUUACUCAUUUUUAGAACCUAUGUGCAUUUGCCUUUUUUAAUUAAGAAAUUAUUUUAAAACAUCUCACGCGCACGUGUACCCAUUUGUUUGGCAUGUCAAGAAUCAUGUCACGCGAACGUGUCCCCAAUUAAUAACGCUUUAUUAUUGUUAAGAAUGUUUAGUCAAAGUAGCGCGAACGCAUACUCCAAUUUUUGUUUUAAAAUCGUAAUUAUGUCGCGCGAAUGUAUACACAAUCAUGAUGGUAUAUUGAUCGUGCCUAAAGCAAGCAACGAAUAUUCAUCUUUAGAAACCAUAAUCAUGUCACGCGAACGUGUACAUAAUCAUGAUAAUAAAUUCAAAACGCGCCUUAAGGUUCACCUACCCAAAUGUGGUCGGCCUAAACGUGCUCCUAGCGUUAUUAUUAUGAAAUUAAAAUGAAAGCAAGAAAAGUUUUCUAAGCCUAAUAGAGUAAAAUUCAAUCCACAAUCCUAAUCAAAUUUCGUGAAUCAACACUCAUACGAGAGAAUGUAACUCCACUCGAUUUUUCAUUUAACCCAAUAGUUACUUAAAUCAAUCCAAACCCAAUUACCAUUCAUUCCAAUCGAUGUUGUGGCUCACUUCAUACUCUCAAUGAAGUUUAGCCCAAAAUUAUUAACCCAACAUAUCAACGUGUUCAUCACUGGAAAAUAAACCUAACUAACUAAUUCAUUUAUGUUCCGAAUAAUGUAUCAAAUUCAAAUUAAACAAAACAAUUUAAAUUAAGCAAAAAAAAAAAAAACAGUUUCAAGCAAACAACAAAACAACAGAAUGAUCGUACAGCAAUUAUAAUCAUCAAACAUUGAUUAAAAAUAUAGAUAGAAAUUUUUUAAAUCAAAUUAAGAGAUGAACCUCACAGUGAUAACCCUUUAGAUUAUUGAACUCCGACCAAAAGACUGGGAUGGCCACAUGAACACUACCACGAACCACGAACGGGAACCAACGGCCAACGGCGAACUCGAACAGACCCAAAACCAACUCCAAUAUUCAAUCAAAACCCAUCAUUUUGAAGUUGUUUCUUGCUGUUGGGGUCUGUGUUCUUGUGUGUGUGUGUUGGGUUCAAAGAAGAAGAAGAGGCUGAAGGGAGACGGUUGGAGCUCUUAGGCCCAUUCAUUGAUCCUUCUCUUGGUAAAGAUGAAAGGUUUUCCUAAGGGUCCAUGGCUGCUCUAGUUGUGAUGGAUGAAGAAGAAGAUGUGGUGGCGAUGGGUAGUCAUCGCCGAUGGAGCUCUUGGAGUCAUUGGUUUCGGCCUGUAGAAGAAGAAGCAAAUGGGUCCUGAAAUGUGAAAUCGAAGAAGCUCACGCUAGGGUUCUUGUGUUUUUCCAUUGAAGAAGAUGACUCACAAGUCUCUCUUGUCAAAAACGGAUCAAACAUUUCCUCUAGGUUAGGCGUUUGGUUCCCAGAUUAGGAAGGAGAAGGGUCACUUUUGGUUUUGCUGAAGAAGAUCUCUGGUUUUUCGUUCAGUCAUUUUUAUUUUUAGUCCUAGGUCUAGUGGCUGCUUAGGGUGUACUGCUGUUGGCGUUUGGGAGGAGGGAUGAAGAAGACGAAGUUUCAGGGGGGGAGGGGUCUGAAAUUGAUAAAAAACGGCGGAUGUUCCAAGGUCCUCGGCGUUAGGUCU
rnacentral:lncRNA from 1 species